GAUAUUGCCAUGUAUGCCUGGCAGCACUUGCACUUGCUACCCUCUUGCCUCCUCCAUUUGAGUGCUGGAAAAACAGGCAGGAGCCCCCACAUCUGGCUGCUGUGCCCGGCUUGUUGAUGGAGGAGUGUUCUUAGUGAUCCUGUUGGGUUUGAAGCUGCCUGCUUCUCUGAGGAAAUCAAGUUACAAACUUGCUUCAUAGCUCUGCAUAGCACUUCGUUGUUUUUCUUUUUUAUCGCGGGUGGAAACAACCUUGAAAAUGGCAGAGUCACAAAGAGAAAAGCGCACCUGGGCCAUUAGACCUGGGGCAGCUUUGUGUCUCAGGCUUCUCAGGAUGGUUUCUGAAGUCUGAAAGAUCCGGAUUCUGGACUAGCACAGUUUAAAGCCAGACGUCGUGUGUUAGAGGAGACACAGCAUCACCAUCCGGACUUCAUCCUUCUUCAGAAGAAUUGAUACUUAAGACACGGUUUCUAAAU
rnacentral:lncRNA from 1 species